GUGAAAUUCAUCAUAUUCAGAUAAUAUAAGAAAUUUAAGAAAUAUGAAAAUAAAACCAAACAAUCUUUAAUUUUGCUAUACAUCAUAACAAAAAAUCAUGCUAAUUUGCAAUGACCAAAAGAAAACAAGGAGAUUGCAUUACACAAAGAAAGCAAAAUCAUACUCUCCCCAAAGAUUAGAUCUUCACAUAUACAUGUAAUCCCUGGGAGAAAUCUGGAGCCUUGCAUGCCUUGAUAUUUAUUCAAACAAACUAGUGUGUAUGAGAUGAAAAUAUUAAUUGUUAAGCUAUAAACCCUAUAUAUAUCAAACUACCUAAAGCUUAUAAAAGUUAUCUUUGUAAACUUUCUACUACAAAUGCAACUCACCAUAUUGUAACAUUAUAUCACCACAUUGUUUUCCCUGCUUAAGAACAACUGAAAAUAGUUUCAUGGCCAAAGCUUUUUCCAAAUAAACCUUGGCUUUCUUUAUCUUUUAAGAAAGAAGCCAUACCUAUACCUUAUUCCCCAAUCCUCUUUAAUUUCCUCACCAAACUAAAAUCUCACUGUAAUAAAUUAUAUGUAUGACUGCUACACCACAACAACAACAACCACCAAAACAAUAGUCCUUGUCAUUGCUGCUCUCUACCAGAAUAUCUCUAUCUUCUCUGAAGCUUGCCCUUGCUUGUAUCAGCAGCUAAUCGAAAAAAGGAAGAUCCAUCACCUUGAAUAACCAUAUUUGGGAUUAACUGAGGUGGGCUUUCUCUAUUAUGGCUCCCAUGAUCAUAAGAGAAGAAAGGUGGAUUAUUAUAGUAAUCAACAAGAGCUGGGUUCUUAGCUAAAGGAGCGUUUUCAUGGUCAAUUCGAUUUCUCAAGUUUUGGUCAAGCGAAUCUUUAAUGCUAGAACCACAUUGUCUAGGUUGAGUUUGGUAGAAAACCUUUGAAACCACUAGCUCUCCUUCUUUUUCUUCUUCGUUUUGGCCAAGAUGGUAUUGGUGCAUAACCCAAUUUGUCUUUUCAGGUUUUCUUUGCCUUCCAUAGUUUGUGUAAAGCACCAAAAUCUUUUUGAAUCCUUUCACCGUCCCUCCGGAGAAAACUGGCCUUGUUUUGCCUGUUUUGUGCCAUCUGGUCUCGCUCCCAUCUUCAUCAGUGUGCACUUUUCUGCGUUUUCUAGUUCCAGUUGUGUAUGCCUUUGAAGGCCUGUGAAAGAAGUGCCGGACUUGGCCAUCGUUGCUUACUCCUGGUAGCUUCUCAGGAUGGGUAUAGCAAAUACCAUUCUCUCCCUCAAUGGUUGGGAUGAAUUCGUCAAUUAGAGGGUGAAGCUUUCGCAUGUCAGACAAUAUCUUGGCUUCUAAAUGCUCAAGUAUUUCUUGGUCAGUCGGAUCAAACUUUACUCCUGCAGGUAAUCCUGGUAAAUCAUGAACUAUCCCACCAGCCUGAUCUUGCAACUGGAUAUCAUGGCCGCAAGAAGGGCAAGUUAUGGUUCGAAUUUGAUCAAUUUUGGUAUCAAUAACAGUGUUUUCUUUGGAGCUGGCUGUGACUAAUUGAAUAGCUCUUUCAUCAACUGAGUUAUUAUUGCACCAUGUCAUUUCUCUAGCUUAGCUCUUUGCCCAUCACACACUGGAAGUUCUAUUCUCUGUUCACUUUCCUCAAAAAGAAUCAAGAACAGACACUUCCAUCAGGAAGACAAAAAAAGAAAAAGAACAAACAAAAAAAAAGAAUAAGAUAAACACAGCUAAAAGAAAGAAAAUAUUGUAGAAAAAGAAAAACUUGUCCCUUUAAAACACUUUUUGUAUGCUAUAACCCAAAACCCACUUCUGGUAUCUUGAAGUUAGGAAAGGAAUUUAAUGCUUCUACACCUUCUGUUGCUUCUAUGGUGCGAUUGCGUUACAACUCCUAGCCACUGCAGAUUCUUGCCACAGAGAGAGAGACAGGGAGAGACAGAGAGAAAGAGAGAGAAAGCAAUGAUUUUACCAAAGAUGGAGGAGUUGGGUUAGCAACCAUCCAUUAAUGGGGGUGAGUGGGACUUGAUGGUCAUUGCACAUGGAUAUUGUGGCUAGUGGGGAAGCUGCUUGCACAGCAAAUCUAUCAAACCUAGAAAAAGAAUAGUUGCAAUAGUUUGCCUUUGCUUUACCUUUU
rnacentral:misc_RNA from 1 species